ensembl:lncRNA
CGUACCUGAUCCCUCGGGAAUUGGGAAAAUCUUUGUGAGUAUGGUUAUGUGGGGACCUGGAAUUGGCCACCCCAAGAUAUGUCUCUUUGGCAUCAGGAUUAGUUGAGGCUGAUUGCUUUUGAUAAACUGGGACAGGGAAGGAGGCUCUGAGGAAUGGAACUUGCCCUUUGUUAGGACACGUUUACAUUUGCAGGGUAAAUCUCUAUCUGUAAAAGGUGCCUCCCUCUCUGUACCAGCAAGAAGAAAGGAGAUGACCUUCUCUCUAGAAACUCUUAAUCAAUACCAAAGGCAAGGACUUAAAUCUGCAUUUUAUUGUGCUAGUCUUGUAACCUCCUGUAACUGACUUCCCUCCCCAUCCCAACGUUGGCAUUUCUUUAAGGAUUAACCAUCUUUCCUUAGGGAAGGAACUGAUUGCUGUGCUCACCUGUGAGCGCCCAGCUCCAGACAAUAGACUUGCCUCCUGCUACGCCCACCGAGAUAGCAGACCAUUACCUGCCAUGUUCAUCAAGCACUGUGCUGACAGGGCAAUCUAGACAAUUCACCUGGCAAUUAUGACUACCAGGCAUAAAAGGGAUGCAAUGCUGAGGGACCCCCCACCAUCGCCCCAUGCUAUAGGAACCCCACAGGCAGAACAAGUAGGACACUGCCCUAUGUUCAGGAAAUUUUCAAGGUAAUGGAACCUUUUCUUUCCUCUCUCUUAAAGUGACAGCGACCAUUUUUGGGCUCCUUUUGAGCUUUGCAAUAGAGAAACCCCACUCUGGUUUCCGGGCCUGAUCACCCUGGCGACCACAUGGGGAGCCCUCUCGGCAAUUGACUCGUUAAGCAUUUUAGGUGACCUACUGAGUCAGUUAUGAGGAUAGGAGACCUGUGAUUUAUUCUGUGAACUGUCCUGAUGGUGUUGUGUGCCCUGGCAUGGGAACUGCUGUGUGACCUCUAUCUCGAUAACCCUUGGGGAAAAGGCCAUGAGGGUGAGGCCUGAUCUCUUUUCCUUUCUGUUUGUCACCUCCUCUCUUGUCACCAAGUCGAGGUUAAGUUCAGGCUGGACCUAACCAGAACCUGGACCUUCUGUACUUAACUCUCAGCCCAAGACACAGGGAGCCCCAGCCCUCCCAGCCAGCUCCAGGCCCUUGCCUCCUCCUUCCUGCCUUGCCCUGUGCUGGCUCAGGGACUAAGUGCCCUGGGCUAAGUGGGACCUCACUAGAUCUUAUAACUAUGUUGAUGUCUGCAGUCAGGCACUUUUGCACCCUUUCUCUGGCUGCUGUCAGUUGAACACCAGCUUUACCGCCAUGAGGAAUGCCUCAACCCAGAGACUCACACCCUGGGUGCAUUUUAACUAGUUGGAAACACUUUCAGUUGGAUGGGUUCUGCCCCAGAAACUCCAGCUUGGAGAAAACUUGAGGAGUUUCUCUGUGCCUUUGUGAUGUAGUUGGACAAGUAGGUCAAUCUAGAAUGUCAUUAAGUUAAACCUAGUAACUUCCAACUGUCCUUGCAAAAUCCUUGCAAGACUGGAAAUACAGCUCUAGAGGCAGUUCAGAUUCCACCCAUUUCCUUUAUCUCAAAAAGGAUUAUCAUCUCCCCUCUCCAGGAACUGCUAUUUAGCCCAUCACUAAUUCCUAAGACUGAAGGAAAAAAAAAAGAGGGGAAAGGUCAUAAGCGUGCCCUUGCUGAGAAAAAAUCUAGCAUCUUGAGUGUCUUCUCCAGAAAUAUUAGUAAAAAGGCUCAGAACAAAAUUCGGAUUCAUAACUAGGGAGCUUUGUAUUGUACCAGAUUCAAGGAGUGAUUUUUAAAACAAUAGGUGUGAAGGCUCUGUGUCUGUGUGUGUCUAUAUGUGUGUGACAUUUUUACCCCCGGGUGGUAUGGCCAAAACUAAGAGCUCUGUUUAAUUGGCUUAAAGUAAGCACUUGCAUAAAUUCUAAAUGCAAUGGAAAUUAACCCAAUGUCUUUUAAGUUAAGAUGAUAUGGAUUAAUCUUUGGUUAAUGAAAGUUUAAGUUUCUUGGUUUGAUUAAAAUGUUUGGAUAUGUCCUCCAGAGUUAGCACUGCAUAUGAUGCAAAUAUGCAGCCUGGCUUAUUAGUUUAAAAAAAAAAAAAGAAAAGCUUAUGUUAUCCCUGUUACAAAUUUGUCAGGAUGAUAGCUUUAAAUGCUAGCUAAAAUUGUUUAAUAUCUCUAAGUUUUUGUGGGUAAUCUAAACAUCAUUAUUGGGAACAAAUGAUUUAGAUAUAAAUGAAAUAAGAGUUUAUAGAUAAGUCUUUUUUAGCAAUAAUUAUAGUUUACGGUAUGUGUAUUUAAAAUAACUUCCAAAAUCUUUGGCAACUUGAAAUGUUGAAGUUUUGCUAGGUUAAUUUAAUUUGAAUGAUAAAAUUUGUUGAGUAUCUAGAUCAUUUCCAAAUAAGAUAUUAGACAUUAAUUAUUAAAUGUAAAUCUACUUUUGGCUUCUUAUUGCAAAGAGGCUAAAAGUGUUUGGGUCUAUUGGAAAGUAUGCCUCGUGUUUUAUUGUAAAGUGGCAUGUUUCUAGAAAUUAUGAAAAGUGUUUAGAAUGUUCAUAUAAAAGUUCAUAAUUGCUUAGUUUUUAGUUUUCAUUAGGGUCUGUAAGGGUUAAAAGUCUAAUUAACAUGUAAUUAAAGUUACUGGAAAUUAAUAAGGAAAACAGCUCUGUAUUCAAGGAAAGUAAAAUGUAUGUUUUCAGUAAAGAGGGUAUAAAGAAUGGAAGUAUUUUUGUUUGGUUAAGAAAGAUAAAUUUGUCCUAAUAUACUAGAAAGUAAGAAAGAAAGUAUGGGAAAAAUUCUGAAUGCAAAAAGAAAGUUGUAGAAAGUUUGUGAAGGAGAAAUUCUGGAAGGAGUUU